rnacentral:rRNA from 1 species
CCUACGGGAGGCAGCAGUGGGGAAUAUUGCACAAUGGGGGAAACCCUGAUGCAGCGACGCCGCGUGAGCGAUGAAGUAUUUCGGUAUGUAACGCUCUAUCAGCAGGGAAGAAAAUGACGGUACCUGACUAAGAAGCCCCGGCUAAAUACGUGCCAGCAGCCGCGGUAAUACGUCGGGGGCAAGCGUUAUCCGGAUUGACUGGGUGUAAAGGGAGGGUAGACGGUCCUGCAAGCCAGAUGUGAAAGCCCGGGGCGCAACCCCGGGACUGCAUUUGGAACUGUGAGGCUAGAGUGGCGGAGAGGCAGGCGGAAGUCCUAGUGUAGCGGUGAAAGGCGUAGAUAUUAGGAGGAACACCAGUGGCGAAGGCGGCCUGCUGGACGAUGACUGACGUUGAGGCUCGAAAGCGUGGGGAGCAAACAGGAUUAGAUACCCCAGUAGUC